CGAUGAAGCCCAGCUUGCUGGGUGGAUUAGUGGCGAACGGGUGAGUAACACGUGAGUAACCUGCCCUUGACUCUGGGAUAAGCGUUGGAAACGACGUCUAAUACCGGAUACGAGCUUCCACCGCAUGGUGAGUUGCUGGAAAGAAUUUUGGUCAAGGAUGGACUCGCGGCCUAUCAGCUUGUUGGUGAGGUAAUGGCUCACCAAGGCGACGACGGGUAGCCGGCCUGAGAGGGUGACCGGCCACACUGGGACUGAGACACGGCCCAGACUCCUACGGGAGGCAGCAGUGGGGAAUAUUGCACAAUGGGCGAAAGCCUGAUGCAGCAACGCCGCGUGAGGGACGACGGCCUUCGGGUUGUAAACCUCUUUUAGCAGGGAAGAAGCGAAAGUGACGGUACCUGCAGAAAAAGCACCGGCUAACUACGUGCC
rnacentral:rRNA from 1 species